AAAAGAAACCAACAGGGAUUGCCCUAGUAACGGCGAGUGAAGCGGCAACAGCUCAAAUUUGAAAUCUGGCCUUCGGGUCCGAGUUGUAAUUUGCAGAGGAUGCUUUUGGCGCGGUGCCUUCCGAGUUCCCUGGAACGGGACGCCUUAGAGGGUGAGAGCCCCGUACGGUUGGACACCAAGCCUCUGUAAAGCUCCUUCGACGAGUCGAGUAGUUUGGGAAUGCUGCUCUAAAUGGGAGGUAAAUUUCUUCUAAAGCUAAAUACCGGCCAGAGACCGAUAGCGCACAAGUAGAGUGAUCGAAAGAUGAAAAGCACUUUGAAAAGAGGGUUAAAUAGCACGUGAAAUUGUUGAAAGGGAAGCGUUUACGGCCAGACCUUUUCCUGGCGGAUCAUCUGGUGUUCUCACCAGUGCACUUCGCCAGGUUUAGGCCAGGCAUCGGCUUCUGUAGGGGGAUAAAAGCAGUGGGAAAGUAGCUCCCUCGGGAGUGUUAUAGCCCUAAGCAUAAUACC
rnacentral:rRNA from 1 species